rnacentral:rRNA from 1 species
GUGGCGGACGGGUGAGUAACACGUAAGAACCUACCUUUCGGUGAGGGAUAACUACUGGAAACGGUAGCUAAUACCUCGUAUAGCUGAGAAGUGAAAGAUUUAAAAUCGCCAAAAAAUGGGCUUGCGUCUGAUUAGCUAGUUGGUGAGGUAAUAGCUUACCAAGGCAAUGAUCAGUAGCUGUUCUGAGAGGAUGAUCAGCCACACUGGGACUGAGACACGGCCCAGACUCCUACGGGAGGCAGCAGUGAGGAAUUUUCCGCAAUGGGCGAAAGCCUGACGGAGCAAUGCCGCGUGAAGGAUGAAGGCCUUAGGGUUGUAAAGCUCUUUUAUCCGGGACGAUAAUGACGGUACCGGAGGAAUAAGCCCCGGCUAACUUCGUGCCAGCAGCCGCGGUAAUACGAAGGGGGCUAGCGUUGCUCGGAAUCACUGGGCGUAAAGGGCGCGUAGGCGGCGUUUUAAGUCGGGGGUGAAAGCCUGUGGCUCAACCACAGAAUGGCCUUCGAUACUGGGACGCUUGAGUAUGGUAGAGGUUGGUGGAACUGCGAGUGUAGAGGUGAAAUUCGUAGAUAUUCGCAAGAACACCGGUGGCGAA